rnacentral:rRNA from 1 species
GAUGAACGCUGGCGGCGUGCCUAAUACAUGCAAGUCGAGCGAACGGACGAGAAGCUUGCUUCUCUGAUGUUAGCGGCGGACGGGUGAGUAACACGUGGAUAACCUACCUAUAAGACUGGGAUAACUUCGGGAAACCGGAGCUAAUACCGGAUAAUAUUUUGAACCGCAUGGUUCAAAAGUGAAAGACGGUCUUGCUGUCACUUAUAGAUGGAUCCGCGCUGCAUUAGCUAGUUGGUAAGGUAACGGCUUACCAAGGCAACGAUGCAUAGCCGACCUGAGAGGGUGAUCGGCCACACUGGAACUGAGACACGGUACAGACUCCUACGGGAGGCAGCAGUAGGGAAUCUUCCGCAAUGGGCGAAAGCCUGACGGAGCAACGCCGCGUGAGUGAUGAAGGUCUUCGGAUCGUAAAACUCUGUUAUUAGGGAAGAACAUAUGUGUAAGUAACUGUGAACAUCUUGACGGUACCUAAUCAGAAAGCCACGGCUAACUACGUG